UACGUAGGGUGCAAGCGUUGUCCGGAUUUAUUGGGCGUAAAGAGCUCGUAGGCGGUUUGUCGCGUCGGAUGUGAAAACCCAGGGCUCAACCCUGGGCCUGCAUUCGAUACGGGCAAACUAGAGUAUGGCAGGGGAGACUGGAAUUCCUGGUGUAGCGGUGAAAUGCGCAGAUAUCGGGAAGAACACCCAUGGCGAAGGCAGCUCUCUGGGACGGUACUGACGCUGAGACGCGAAAGCGUGGGGAGCGAACAGG
rnacentral:rRNA from 1 species